UAGGGAAUCUUCGGCAAUGGACGAAAGUCUGACCGAGCAACGCCGCGUGAGUGAAGAAGGUUUUCGGAUCGUAAAACUCUGUUGUUAGAGAAGAACAAGGACGUUAGUAACUGAACGUCCCCUGACGGUAUCUAACCAGAAAGCCACGGCUAACUACGUGCCAGCAGCCGCGGUAAUACGUAGGUGGCAAGCGUUGUCCGGAUUUAUUGGGCGUAAAGCGAGCGCAGGCGGUUUCUUAAGUCUGAUGUGAAAGCCCCCGGCUCAACCGGGGAGGGUCAUUGGAAACUGGGAGACUUGAGUGCAGAAGAGGAGAGUGGAAUUCCAUGUGUAGCGGUGAAAUGCGUAGAUAUAUGGAGGAACACCAGUGGCGAAGGCUGCUCUCUGGUCUGUAACUGACGCUGAGGCUCGAAAGCGUGGGGAGCAAACAGG
rnacentral:rRNA from 1 species